ensembl:rRNA 5S_rRNA 5S ribosomal RNA
GCUUACGGCAAUACCAGCCAAGAACGCCCGGUCUUCGUCUGAUCUCGGAAACUAAGAAGGCUUGGGCCUGGUUAGUACUUGGAUGGGAGACCUCCUGGGAAUACCAGGUGCUGUAAGCU